UGGGGCGGGCGGCGGCGGCGGCGAGGAGGAGGGGGGAUUUGACCCCGACGAGAGGAAGACCGCAGGAAGGAGAAGAGGCCGGGUCGGGUCGGAGUGUUGUUGCGUGGUUGGGUCGGGUCAAACCCAACCGGGCAUGGAAUGGAAUGCUACUCUGCUACUACUACCUAGCUCCGUCUAAAAUGAUUUAUUUUCUUAGACUAGGUACAAUAGUAAACUAUAAGCCAAUUAUAAAUAUAUUUUAAAGAGAUAUAAACGUAUUUUAAAGAGAUAGGAAGGAAAAGAGAACAGAGGUGAGCUCCUAAUUUAUAGCCAGCUACAUACGAACUCCAAAACACAGUGUGUAUAUGACAUGUGAGACCAUGUACUAAUGUUUUGGUAGGUAACUAUUGUAUGAAUUGGCUAUUAGAUUGACUAUAGAUGGAUUGGAGCUAGUAGUUGUCUAUACUAUUGAAUCUUAAGAAAUCCAUCUAAACGGGAUUCCGUCCCAUAGUCGUUUCGAUAUUUGGUCGGAUUCUCUUGUUUAUCUAAUAAAUAUUUUAUUACAUAUCUAUUAUAUUAUAAGAUUUUUUGACAUCAUGUAAAUACAUAGAUAAACUCACAAAGUGUUAUAAUAUAGGAAAAUGAGAGUACUACGUUUGAGCAAUAAAUGUGCGUGAGUUCAGUAAAUUAUAGAUAAAUACGUUAAAUUUGAAAAUCAGUGGAUAAAUAUAUUGGGACUUAAAAAAGGUAAAUGAUAUUUUAGUUUUUUUAGCUUCGCAUAGAUAUAUAUGAAGUGGGCGUCUUUUCAGGUCAG
rnacentral:lncRNA from 1 species